rnacentral:tRNA from 1 species
GGCGGUGUAGCUCAGCUGGCUAGAGCAUUCGGUUCAUACCCGAAAGGUCGGUGGUUCGAUCCCACUCGCCGCUACCA